rnacentral:rRNA from 1 species
ACUCCUACGGGAGGCAGCAGUGGGGAAUAUUGCACAAUGGGGGAAACCCUGAUGCAGCCAUGCCGCGUGUGUGAAGAAGGCCUUUGGGUUGUAAAGCACUUUCAGUAGGGAGGAAGGUAGUGUAGUUAACACCUGCACUAUUUGACGUUACCUACAGAAGAAGCACCGGCUAACUCCGUGCCAGCAGCCGCGGUAAUACGGAGGGGUGCGAGCGUUAAUCGGAAUUACUGGGCGUAAAGCGCAUGCAGGCGGCCUGUUAAGUCAGAUGUGAAAGCCCGGGGGCUUAACCUCGGAAUUGCAUUUGAAACUGGCAGGCUAGAGUCUUGUAGAGGGGGGUAGAAUUUCAGGUGUAGCGGUGAAAUGCGUAGAGAUCUGAAGGAAUACCAGUGGCGAAGGCGGCCCCCUGGACAAAGACUGACGCUCAGAUGCGAAAGCGUGGGGAGCAAACAGGAUUAGAUACCCUGGUAGCACA